CGGGGUGAGUAACGCGUGAGGAACCUGCCUUGAAGAGGGGGACAACAGUUGGAAACGACUGCUAAUACCGCAUGAAGCAUAGGGGUCGCAUGAUUCUUAUGCCAAAGAUUUAUCGCUUCAAGAUGGCCUCGCGUCUGAUUAGCUGGUUGGCGGGGUAACGGCCCACCAAGGCGACGAUCGGUAGCCGGACUGAGAGGUUGAACGACCACAUUGGGACUGAGACACGGACCAG
rnacentral:rRNA from 1 species